rnacentral:rRNA from 1 species
UACGUAGGUGGCAAGCGUUGUCCGGAAUUAUUGGGCGUAAAGCGCGCGCAGGCGGUCCUUUAAGUCUGAUGUGAAAGCCCCACGGCUCAAACCGUGGAGGGUCAUUGGAAACGUGGGGGACUUGAGUACGAAGAGAAGAGAUGGAAUUCCACGUGUAGCGGUGAAAUGCGUAGAGAUGUGGAGGAACACCAGUGGCGAAGGCGACUCUUUGGUCUGUAAACUGCGCUGGAGGCGCGAAAGCGUGGGGAGCAAACAGG